CACUCUGUCGCCCAGGCUGGAGUGCAGUGGCCGGAUCUCAGCUCACUGCAAGCUCCGCCUCCCGGGUUAUGCCAUUCUCCUGCCUCAGCCUCCCGAGUAGCUGGGACUACAGGUGCCCGCCACCUCGCCGGCUAUUUUUUUGUAUUUUUUAGUAGAGACGGGGUUUCACCAGGUUAGCCAGGAUGGUCUCGAUCUCCUGACCUCGUGAUCCGCCCGUCUCGGCCUCCCAAAGUGCUGGGAUUACAGGCUUGAGCCACCGCGCCCGGCCUUUUUUUUUUUUUUUUUCCUUUUGAGACAGGGUCUUAGUCUGUCACCAUGGCUGGAGUGCAGUGGCGCAAUCAAAGCUUGCUGCAGCCUUGAACUCCUGGGCCUAAGCAAUCCUCCCACCUCAGCAACUAGGAUUACAGGCACAGGCCACCACACGUGGCCUUUUAAUUUACUUCUGUGCCAACAAAAUAAAACUCAGGCCUAGGAACAGCUUGGUUCAGAAAUCACAGAGGGACUUAGUAUUCCAUUAGUACAAAUUGAAAAAUUAAGUUCAUCAUCAGAUGAUAAAAGGAAUAAAACCUGAUACUCAUCUCAAAAGAUGCAGAAAAGACAUUUGAAUAAAUCCAGUACCUAUUAUUAUUUCAAAUUUAAAAACUACUUUUUUUUUUUUAAGAGAUAGAAUUGCACUUCUCAGCAUUUCACAUUAAGAACCCAACUGCACCUUUUUCUCUGCCUCUAAACACCUGUAGUCUGAUAGGGGAUACCCCCCCAGACCUUAAUCAUUCACAUAACACCUUGAGACUUUCUGCCAUAUCUGACUGAAUAUAGCCAGUCAUUUUUUCCCCUUAAAUCAAGUCACUUUUUUUUUUUUAAACAAAGUCUCGUUCUGUUGCCCUAGCAUGAUCUCAGCUCACUGCAACCUCCUCCUCCUGGGUUCAAGUGAUCCUUGUGCCUCAGCCUCUCGAGGAACUGGUAUUACAGAUGUGCACCACCAUACCUGGCUAACUUUUGUAUUUUUAGUAGAGACGGGUUUUUGCUAUGUUUGCCAGGCUGACGUCUAGCUCCUAGCCUCCUAUGAUCCGCCCACCUCAGCCUCCCAAAGUGAUUACAGCGUGAGUCACCUCACCCAGCCAAAUCAAGUCACUUUUAAAAUACAAAUUUAUUCUAUGUCUAAGGACAUUAUCGAUAAAGUGAAAACACAACCCACAGAAUGGGAGAAAAUAUUUGCAAACCAUAUAUCUGAUAAGGGCCUAGAAUCCAGAAUGUAUAAAGAACUCUUACAAUUCAGUCAUAAAAAGACAAACGCCUAAUUAAAAAGUGGACCAAGGCUCAGCACAGACACUUCUCCAGGGAACACACGCAUACAGCCAACAGCACCAGCAAAGGUGCUUGACAGCAUCACUCAUCAGAGAAAUGCAAGUCCAAAUGACAACAGAGGCUACUUCACACUCCAUUAGAGUGAUUCUAACCAAAAAGUCAGAUAAUAACUAGCGUUGGCAAGAAUGCACAAAAGUUGGAACCCUCUUACUUACUGGUGGGAAUGUAAAAUGCUGCAUCGACAUGGGAAAAUAGUCUGGCAGUUCCUCAAAAAUAUAGAGUUACUAUAUGACCCAGUAAUUCUACUCCUAGGUAUUUACUGAAUUGAAAACACAUGUUCGCACAAAAACUUGUACACAACUGUUCAUAGCACCAUUGUUCAUAAUAGCCCAAAACCAGAAAUAAUCCAAAUGUCCAAAUGAUUGUGAAUAAACAAAAUGGGGUCUAUCCAUACAGUAGAAUAUUAUUCAGUCAGAAAAAGGAAUGCAGUACUGUUCUAUGCUACAACAUGAAUGAACCCUGAAAACAUGCCAGACCCAUGUUUGAAAACAAGAAAACAAGACAGACCCAAAAAGACAAAUAUUUUAUGAUUACACUUACAUGAGGUCCCUAGAAGAGGCAAAUUCACACAGACAGAGAGCACAACAAAGUUUACCAGUAUGACAAAGGUUACCAAAGACCAGGGGAAGACACAGGUAGGAAGAUUUUUUUUGUUUUUUGUUUUUGUUUUUGUUUUUUAUGAAUACAGAGCUUCUGUUUGGGAUGAUGAAAAAGUUCUGGACAUGGAUAGUGUCGAUGGCUGCACAACAUAGCAAAUAUACUAAAAGCCGCUGAAUAGUACAUUUCAAAAGCAUGAAUUUUAUCUCAAUAUUUAGAAGGAAAAAUAUUCUUAGAAGAAACAAUAUUACCAUCAUAAAUGGAAAACCGGUAAUAACAAAAUACAUACAUACAUACAUAUUAAGAUUUACAAUGUCUAUUAGCAAGUCACCCUAACUCAUCUUACAGACCACCAGCAGGACAAUUACCCCUCUGGGCGACAUGAAAAAGGCUGCCGGGGGCUUAUGUCCAGUGCCCAGGGUCCAGCAUGGCCCUCUUCCUCGGUUUGCUGAUGGAUCCCACUUCUAUAGUGCGUCAGGAAGGAACCAGACCACCGUGCUCAUGGCUUGAUAGUUAUUGCAGCCAAUGGGAACAAGACAGGAAGAGAGAAGCAUAGAAAAUGGAAUAAGGUCUGUGAAUAAUGUAAUCAUCAAAGGUGACUGUUUUUCACUUGGUAUUCCCAAGAGACCAGGGCUCACUCCCUGUCAAGAGUGACUAGCAUAAUGCUUGCAUUAUUUCAUUAACCCUCAUCCUACUUCUUACAGAUGGGGAAACUGAGGCAGAAAGCAAAUAAGUAAAUAAGUAGUGGGUCCAGGAUCAGAUCCCGGCUCUCUGACUUGAAAGCCAAGACACUAUAUUGCCUCCCAAUUGACCCUAAUAGUGAAGUUCAGCGUAUCUAUUUACGAAACAAAGCAUAGUUAUUUAAAAGUCUUACCAUAUACUACCAUCAUCAGAAAUUUAAAUAGAAAAAUAUAUCCAACUGCAGUGUAGACUGUUAAAUUUCAAAGGACAAACUUCAUAAAUGUGCAUAACCUAUAUAAAGAGAAGUUCAAUACUCCCAAGAAAACAUGAAAAUCAUCAUAUCCUAAAUGAACAGGGAGUUCAGUUCCUCAGUGGGAAGUCUCAGUAUUAUAAUAUGGUUAUAAAUGUAAUGAAAUUCCAAUACAAAUUCAAACACUACUAAAAAGAAUGACAUGCACCUCUAUUUAUCAUAUAUCAAACUCAGUCAGUAGAAAGCUAAAAUAAUGAAAACAUUGGGUUGGCACAAGGAAAGACAGAUCUGAUACAACAGACUAAAAGUCCAAAAACAGAUGUCUAUUAAAUUAUUUGAGAUGGAGUCUCUCUCUGUCUCCCAGGCUGGAGUGCAGUGGUGCGAUCUCGGCUCACUGCAAGCUCUGCCUCGCGGGUUCACGCCAUUCUCCUGCCUCAGCCUCCCGAGUAGCUGGGACUACAGGCGCCGCCACCAUGCCCGGCUAAUUUUUUGUAUUUUUAGCAGAGACGGGGUUUCACCAUUUUAGCCAGGAUGGUCUCGAUUUCCUGACCUCGUGAUCCGCCCGCCUCGGCCCCGCAAAGUGCUGGGAUUAUAGGUGUGAGCCACCACGCCCAGCCCCUAUUUAUUUAUUUAUUUUUUGAGAUGGAGUCUCACCCUGUCUCCCAGGCUGGAAUGCAGUGGCACGAUCUUGG
ensembl:lncRNA